rnacentral:rRNA from 1 species
CUGUUGUUUCGGCAGCAGGGAACCAGGACCUUUACUUUGAAAAAAUUAGAGUGUUCAAAGCAGGCUCGACGCCGGAAUAUAUUAGCAUGGAAUAAUAAAAUAGGACGUGCGGUUCUAUUUUGUUGGUUUUUGGAAUCGCCGUAAUGAUUAAUAGGGACAGUCGGGGGCAUUAGUACUCACAUGCUAGAGGUGAAAUUCUUGGAUUUUGUGAAGACUAACUUCUGCGAAAGCAUUUGCCAAGGAUGUUUUCAUUAAUCAAGAACGAAGGUUAGGGUAUCGAAAACGAUUAGAUACCGUUGUAGUCUUAACAGUAAACUAUGCCGACUAGGGAUCGGUCGAUGUUAUCUUUUUGACUCGAUCGGCACCUUACGAGAAAUCAAAGUUUUUGGGUCCUGGGGGGAGUAUGGUCGC